CACAGCUGGGUUCUGGAGGUUCUGAUCCAUUACUGAAUUUAGGAGGCAUUCUCAUAGAGUCAUCACUCUUCAUAGACGCACAGCUGGGUUCUGCUCCAUCACUGAAUUUAGGAGGCAUUCUCAUAGAGUCAUCACUCUUCAUAGACACACAGCUGGGUUCUGCUCCAUCACUGAAUUUAGGAGGCAUUCUCAUAGAGUCAUCACUCUUCAUAGACACACAGCUGGGUUCUGGAGGUUCUGCUCCAUCACUGAACUUAGGAGGCAUUCUCAUAGAGUCAUCACUCUUCAUAGACGCACAGCUGGGUUCUGGAGGUUCUGCUCCAUUACUGAAUUUAGGAGGCAUUCUCAUAGAGUCAUCACUCUUCACAGACACACAGCUGGGUUCUGGAGGUUCUGAUCCAUUACUGAAUUUAGGAGGCAUUCUCAUAGAGUCAUCACUCUUCCAAAACAC